rnacentral:rRNA from 1 species
AAGCUCGUAGUUGAAUUUCGGGAUUAGUACGUCGGUCGUGCCUUAGGUACGUACUGGUGUUACUGGUUCCUACCUUCUGACGAACCAUCAUGUCAUUAAUUUGGUGUGGUGGGGAAUCAGGACUGUUACUUUGAAAAAAUUAGAGUGUUUAAAGCAGGCUCGCGCUUGAAUACAUUAGCAUGGAAUAAUGAAAUAGGACGUUGAUCCUAUUUUGUUGGUUUCUAGGAUUGACGUAAUGAUUAAUAGGGAUAGUUGG